UUCCUUUUCUUUUCUUUUUUUUUCACAUCCCAUACAUGAAACGAAAACACAAUCGCAAAAUCAAAUUUCGAAAAUUUCAAAUAGAGGGCUCAUGAUAAUUAAAGUUCAAAAGAUUUAACAUUUUACCUGACUGUACAAAUCCAACAAUUGCAUCAUCAACAGGUAUUGCUUGACUCAUUCUCUCCAGAUGUAGUUGGACUGAGCUCUCGUUUCGUUGACUCUUCUUUGCUGCACAUUGAUGCUGCACUAUCCUCACAUUUAGUUGAGUCCUCACCAGGCAUUGAAGUUGGGCAUGGCUCGGAAACUUCAUGCAACUCCAUAUGGCCAGCACCACCAUUUCUUUCUGAAGUUUC
rnacentral:misc_RNA from 1 species